UGUAUGGGAGUGUGACGUUCUUGCGAUGCGACGUCGCAUCGCAGUUUUGUGUACAAGCCCUUAAAAUAUA